UACGUAGGGGGCUAGCGUUGUCCGGAUUUAUUGGGCGUAAAGAGCGUGUAGGCGGCCAGGUAGGUCUGCUGUGAAAACUCGGGGCUCAACCUCGAGAUGUCGGCGGAAACCAUCUGGCUAGAGUCCGGAAGAGGAGAGUGGAAUUCCUGGUGUAGCGGUGAAAUGCGCAGAUAUCAGGAAGAACACCCGUGGCGAAGGCGGCUCUCUGGGACGGUACUGACGCUGAGACGCGAAAGCGUGGGGAGCGAACAGG
rnacentral:rRNA from 1 species